GGGGUUGUGGCUCAGUGGUAUAGCACCCACCUAGCACAUGUGAGGUCCUGAGUUCAAUCCUCAGCACCA
rnacentral:tRNA from 1 species